rnacentral:rRNA from 1 species
GACGAACGCUGGCGGCGUGCUUGACACAUGCAAGUCGAACGGAAAGGCCUGCUUUCCCUUGUGGAUUGCGGGUACUCGAGUGGCGAACGGGUGAGUAACACGUGAGUGAUCUGCCCCCAACUUGGGUAUAAGCCUGGGAAACUGGGUCUAAUUCCCGAUAGGACUGCAGGGUGGUGCCUGUGGUGGAAAACGAUUUUCUAGUGGUUGGGGAUGAGCUCGCGGCCUAUCAGCUUGUUGGUGGGGUAAUGGCCUACCAAGGCGGCGACGGGUAGCCGGCCUGAGAUGGUGGACGUCCACAUUGGGACUGAGAUACGGCCCAGACUCCUACGGGAGGCAGCAGUGGGGAAUAUUACACAAUGGGCGGAAGCCUGAUGCAGCGACGCGGCGUGGGGGAUGACGACCUUCGGGUUGUAGACUCCUUUCGACCGCGAGGAAGCCACCUGGUUGGAAGGGUGGUGACGGUAAUGGUAGAAGAAGCACCGGCUAACUACGUG